AUUGAACGCUAGCGGGAUGCCUUACACAUGCAAGUCGAACGGAGUGGCGAACGGGUGAGUAAUGUAUCGGAACGUGCCCAGGAGCGGGGGAUAACUAAGAGAAAGCGUAGCUAAUACCGCAUACUCUUGGAGCGGCAGAUAUCGGAUUAGCUAGUUGGGGGGGUAACGGCCCACCAAGGCGACGACCCGGAGCUGGUGUGAGAGGACGACCAGCAACACUGGGACUGAGACACGGCCCAGACUCCUACGGGAGGCAGCAGUGGGGAAUUUUGGGCAAGGGGGGAAACCCUGAUCCAGCCAUCCCGCGUGUGCGAUGAAGGCCUUCGGGUUGUAAAGCACUUUUGGCAGGAAAGCGGUACCUGCAGAAUAAGCACCGGCUAACUACGUGCCAGCAGCCGCGGUAAUUC
rnacentral:rRNA from 1 species